GGCGGGGUAGCUCAGUGGUAGAGCAGAGGCCUGAAAAGCCUUGUGUCGGCAGUUCAAUUCUGCCCCUCGCCA
rnacentral:tRNA from 1 species